rnacentral:snRNA from 1 species
AUGCUUAUGUUGGCAGGACAUAUACCAAAAUUGGAAAAAUACAGAGAAGUUUAGCAUGGUCUUUGAGCAAGGAUGACAGGUAAAUUUACAAAGUGUUCCAUAUUAAA